ensembl:snoRNA
AUCCUUUAUGGUUCAUAAAUAUGAUGGUUGGGUUUUCACACUGCUGUGUGAGAUAUAUCUCCCUCAAACUUAAAUAAGUUAUACAUUUUAAUAUAUAAUGACCCUUUUAUGAUGUCAGCAUAUGAAUGACCCAGCUGAUG